GCCAGUUUGGCUCAGUGGAUAGAGCAUCAGCCUGCGGACUGAAGGGUCACGGGUUCAAUUCCGGUCAAGGGCA
rnacentral:tRNA from 1 species